rnacentral:rRNA from 1 species
UACGGGGGGGGGCAAGCGUUGUUCGGAAUUACUGGGCGUAAAGGGCUCGUAGGCGGCCAACUAAGUCAGACGUGAAAUCCCCAGGCUCAACCUGGGAACUGCGUCUGAUACUGAUUGGCUUGAAUCCGGGAGAGGGAUGCAGAAUUCCAGGUGUAGCGGUGAAAUGCGUAGAUAUCUGGAGGAAUACCGGUGGCGAAGGCGGCAUCCUGGACCGGCAUUGACGCUGAGGAGCGAAAGCCAGGGGAGCAAACGGG